GACGAACCGUGCGAACGUUGUUCGGAAUUACUGGGCGUAAAGGGUUUGUAGGUGGCUUGCUAAGUCAGACGUGAAAUCCCUCAGCUUAACUGGGGAACUGCGUCUGAUACUGGCGAGCUUGAGUGCAGGAGAGGAACGCGGAAUUCCAGGUGUAGCGGUGAAAUGCGUAGAUAUCUGGAGGAACACCGGUGGCGAAGGCGGCGUUCUGGACUGUAACUGACACUGAGAAACGAAAGCCAGGGUAGCAAACGGG
rnacentral:rRNA from 1 species